rnacentral:lncRNA from 1 species
UUUACAAGAAAACAUUAUUAACGUUAAAAUUAUGUUAGUAGAUUGCAAAAAAAGUGUUUUAGUUUUUACAAGUGUUAUAUGUGUGGUUUUACAACAUGUAUCUCUAGGUAUGUUCAUAAAAGCAUUCAACGAGUACAGUGUUUUUUGGGAGUCUCAUCCACAUAUAUACUAUCUGCGCUGGUUAAUUGCAUCGAGUGUUGUUUCAAUAAUAAUGCUACUUAGUUCGAUUGGAACUCUAUGGUCGCGCCGUUUUUAUCAUGUUUGUAACUUUGCUUCAUUAUUUAAUGUAACAUUUAUGACCGGAACUAUCAUCUAUAUAAGAAUUGACAACGUUAAAAUGGAGCAAGGUCCAUUUAUUAUGUCUUGUGUGUCGAUUUUGUUAUCUGUUUCAAACUUAAUAAUAUCCAUGAUUGAAUACUGCCGUAAAAAAGAUAAAAUCAACGCAAUUGCUCCUAGUUUAAGUAGUGAAUGUUCAGAAAGUUCUGCGUCGUCUUCAAAUUUAAAACUUAACAUAUUUACCUUGACUGAGCGUAAACAGUAGUAAAAGAUUUGUAUGUUUAGUUUAAUGGUUUCAGUCGAACACCAAGUUUUAAAAUUGUUCACAAUUUGAUUAUACUCUUAUAAAGUUCAUGAUGCCAAACGAGUUUCCAUUUGAGAUAAGCAAAGAAACAGCUAGAAAAGCUAGAAAUGAAAAUGAAAAAAAAAACGAAUUUUUUUAGAAAGAUUGCAACUACAACCAAUGAUAUUAAAGUAAUGAAUAAUAAACGUAUAAAAGUGUAUAAAGUAUAUAUUUAAAGUAUAUAUUUUAAUCGCUUUCAAAUGAGCUGUAAUUGUAAAUAUUAGGAAGUAAUUAGUAAUUUAACCAGUUUCUUAUUUAUGAAUAUAUUGUUAUAAAACUAA